GGCCCCGUAGCGCAAUGGCAGCGCGUCUGACUCCAGAUCAGAAGGCUGGGUGUUCGAGUCACUCCGGGGUCA
rnacentral:tRNA from 1 species